GAUGAACGCUAGCGGCAGGCCUAACACAUGCAAGUCGAGGGGCAGCACAGAAACAGCAAUGUUUUGGUGGCGACCGGCGGACGGGUGCGUAACGCGUCUGCAACCUACCUUUAACAGGGGGAUAACGGAGAGAAAUUUCCACUAAUACCCCAUAACAUCGAUCAAGGCAUCUUGAUUGGUUGAAAACUCCGGUGGUUAAAGAUGGGCAUGCGUUGUAUUAGGUAGUUGGUGAGGUAAUGGCUCACCAAGCCUACGAUACAUAGGGGGACUGAGAGGUUAGCCCCCCACACUGGUACUGAGACACGGACCAGACUCCUACGGGAGGCAGCAGUGAGGAAUAUUGGUCAAUGUGGGCAACCCUGAACCAGCCAUGCCGCGUGCAGGAAGACGGCUCUAUGAGUUGUAAACUGCUUUUAAACAGGGAUAAAGCACAGUAUGUAUACUGUGUUGAAGGUACUGUAAGAAUAAGGAUCGGCUAACUCCGUGCCAGCCGCCGCGGUAA
rnacentral:rRNA from 1 species